CUGACGGGGGCCCGCACAAGCGGUGGAGCAUGUGGUUCAAUUCGACGCAACGCGAAGAACCUUACCUGGGCUUGAACUGGAGUGGAAGUAGGCAGAGAUGUCUAUGUCCUUUUCGGGACUGCUCUAGAGGUGCUGCAUGGCUGUCGCCAGCUCGUGUCGUGAGAUGUUGGGUUAAGUCCCGCAACGAGCGCAACCCUUGUCCUUAGUUGCUAACAGGUAAAGCUGAGAACCCUAAGGAAACUGUCGGCGAUAAGCCGGAGGAAGGUGGGGAUGACGUCAAGUCCUCAUGGCCUUUAUGUCCAGGGCUGCACACGUGCUACAAUGGGCGGUACAAAGGGUUGCAAACCCGCGAGGGGGAGCCAAUCCCAAAAAACCGUUCUCAGUUCGGAUUGCAGUCUGCAACUCGACUGCAUGAAGCUGGAAUCGCUAGUAAUCGCGGAUCAGCAUGCCGCGGUGAAUACGUUCCCGGGCCUUGUACACACCGCCCGUCACAUCAUGAAAGCUGGUUGUACUAGAAGUCGCCGUGCUAACCGCAAGGGGGCAGGUGCCCAAGGUAUGACUAGUGAUUAGGGUG
rnacentral:rRNA from 1 species